rnacentral:lncRNA from 1 species
CUGCUUGUUGGGUGUUGGGGCUACUGUCCGGGUCGGAUCUGGGUCGGGUCGACCCGAUUUCUCCUUUUUAUUUUUUUCCUUUCUUUUUUCUUUUUUCUUUUUUCUUUUUUCUUUCCUUUUUUUCUUCUUUUUUUUCCUUUCUUCUUUCUUUUUUCUUUCCUUUUCCUUUUUCUCCUUUCUUUUCCGUUCAGCCACCCCCAACUCCUUGCGCCGUCGACGACGCUUCCUCUGCCUGGUGCGACGACCGACUGUGGCGUGGUGGUCCUCUCUUUCUUUCUUUCUUCUUUGCUGUUCUUUUUUGUUAUUUUUGCUCGCUAUUUUUUGUUUAUGCUUGUUUGGCUCUUGGCUUGGUUUCGGUGGUAGAGCGGCGAUGGUGGUGGCGCGACGGUGGCGAGGACCUUUUGGGCUGCUGUUUCUUUAGUGUUUUGCUACUUUUUUUUUCAAAUUUUUCUUCUUUUUUUUGCCAAAAAAAAACCCUUUCUCUCUUUCAUUUUUCUUCUUUUAUCUUGCUCAUUUUUGUCUUCUUUUUCUUUGUCUUCAGGUGACAGUGAAGGGUAUCAUGAACCUAGGGAGGCUGUCAGAGUAGCUGGAGGUGGCAAUGCACGCCCGGAUGUCGAUUGGGUGAUUUGAC